rnacentral:rRNA from 1 species
ACGUGUGUGGAGCGGGCAGCGAGUGUCAGAGGGGGAGGCAAGCGGGUUCAGUGAACGAGGGGGGGAAAAGCGUCCGUAGGGGGCUAGCACAGUCUGCGGUCAAGGACUGGGGCUUAACCCUGGAAAGGCGGUGGAAACUGACGAGCUAGAGUGCAGGAGGGUGAGAGGGAAUUCCCGGGGUAGCGGUGAAAUGCGUAGAGCUCGGGAAGAACAUCGGUGGCGAAAGCGCUCUACUGGACUGCAACUGACACUCAGGGACGAAAGCUAGGGGAGCGAAUGGGAUUAGAUACCCCGGUAGUC